rnacentral:rRNA from 1 species
UACGUAGGGUCCGAGCGUUGUCCGGAAUUACUGGGCGUAAAGCGUGCGCAGGCGGCUUCGUAGGCCUGACGUGAAAGCCCCGGGCUCAACCUGGGAAUUGCAUUCGAGACUGCUCUGCUAGGGUGCGGAAGAGGGAAGCGGAAUUUCCGGUGUAGCGGUGAAAUGCGUAGAUAUCGGAAGGAACACCAGUGGCGAAAGCGGCUUCCUGGUCCAGCACCGACGUUCAGGCACGAAAGCGUGGGGAGCAAACAGG